UACGUAGGGUGCGAGCGUUAAUCGGAAUUACUGGGCGUAAAGCGUGCGCAGGCGGUUCGUUGUGUCUGAUGUGAAAUCCCCGGGCUUAACCUGGGAACUGCAUUCGAUACUGAGCAGCUAGAGUAUGAGAGAGGGAGGUAGAAUUCCACGUGUAGCGGUGAAAUGCGUAGAUAUGUGGAGGAAUACCGGUGGCGAAGGCGGCCUCCUGGCUUAAUACUGACGCUGAGGUGCGAAAGCGUGGGGAGCAAACAGG
rnacentral:rRNA from 1 species